CGUAGGGUGCGAGCGUUGUCCGGAUUUAUUGGGCGUAAAGAGCUCGUAGGCGGCUCGUCGCGUCAGCUGUGAAAACCGGCAGCUUAACUGUGGGCUUGCAGCUGAUACGGGCGGGCUAGAGUUCGGUAGGGGAGACUGGAAUUCCUGGUGUAGCGGUGAAAUGCGCAGAUAUCAGGAGGAACACCGGUGGCGAAGGCGGGUCUCUGGGCCGAUACUGACGCUGAGGAGCGAAAGCGUGGGGAGCGAACAGGAUUAGAUACCCUGGUAGUCCACGCUGUAAACGUUGGGCGCUAGGUGUGGGGGGCCUCUCCGGUUCUCUGUGCCGCAGCUAACGCAUUAAGCGCCCCGCCUGGGGAGUACGGCCGCAAGGCUA
rnacentral:rRNA from 1 species